rnacentral:rRNA from 1 species
AGUGAACGCUGGCGGUAGGCCUAACACAUGCAAGUCGAACGGCAGCACAGUAAGAGCUUGCUCUUACGGGUGGCGAGUGGCGGACGGGUGAGGAAUACAUCGGAAUCUACUUUUUCGUGGGGGAUAACGUAGGGAAACUUACGCUAAUACCGCAUACGACCUACGGGUGAAAGCAGGGGAUCUUCGGACCUUGCGCGAUUGAAUGAGCCGAUGUCGGAUUAGCUAGUUGGCGGGGUAAAGGCCCACCAAGGCGACGAUCCGUAGCUGGUCUGAGAGGAUGAGCUGCCACACUGGAACUGAGAGCAGGUGCAGAGUCGGCCGGGAGGGACCAGUGGGGGAUAUUGGACAACGGGCGCAAGUAUGAUCCAGCCAUACAGCGUGGGUGAAGAAGGCCUUCGGGUUGUAAAGCCCUUUUGUUGGGAAAAAAAAGCAGCAGGUUAAUACCCCGCUGUUCUGACGGUACGCAAAGAAUAAGCAACGGCUAACUUCGUG